UCACCCCCAGACUCCUCCAGCCCCGCUACCCCCUACCCCCAACUCCCUAAAGAUGAGCCGGAAGGAGAGAGCAAGCCAGUGCCAUGAAUCGAUUUCUUUAUUAAUUUUGACAUUUGUUCAGCUGGUGUAGGGAGAAUGGUCUAUACAUCAGAGAGGGGUGGGUAGGGGGGAGAUUCCCUCCAGAGAACAGAGCCGUGUGGAAGAGUCAAGAAAAGAAUCAUUUUCAUAACAAUUUAAAAAAAUCAAGGUAAUUCCAAAACUUCUAAAAAGCGUCUAAGGUGCAGACUGCAGCAUUCUCUAGGCAUCGUGUGGCGACCCCAAACCCCUCCCCUACAAGCUCCUACUAGCAGCGGACGCGGCAUGCCGCCGAGGGCCGGGGCCGGCGGGCCAAGCAGCGAAGCCAGACAGAGAGAGGGGCCAAAGCGCAGCCGGGCCGGGGCCGGGGCUCUACGGGGGCUACCGGGUCGGGGCGCCGGGGCGAGGCGGGGGCCGAUGGCGGCGGGAGGCGGCCCCGUGCCUGUCUUCCUUGGCCUUCAGCGAGUCCAGCCGGCCCGGGGCGCUGGGGGGUGGGGGCGCCGGGGCCGGGCGAAGGGUCAGGCCGGCGGCGGCCAGGAUGCUCUGCGAGCCUCCCCGCGCGCCCCUUGGAGGCCGGGCCGACCCCGACCCCGCCGGGACCCACAGGAACAGAGGGGACCCACAGGAACACUGCUCUGGGGCCGGCCGGGGCCGGGGGUGCUGGGGGGUGGGGCGCGCUCUGCCGUCGAGGAGGGGCUUCUGUGCUACUUGGAAGGUUCGGAUGUGUUCGGAGGACACCUCGGCAGAGCGGCGGAGAGGACGGGGACCGGACAUCCACACACAGUGUGGCCCUUGGGCGGGCGAGGAACUUCGUCUCCUUCCUGCCCUGACAGCGGGGGAGCCCUGGGCCGGGAGGGUCUCCUUCCUGGCUGGGGCCUCCAGGUGGUCAGCCGUCUGUCCCCCUGCGCUCCGCCCGCGCCCCCCUGCGCUGCCUCUCCAGGAGGCGGGCGGGGCGGGGGCGGGGGCACCUUGACUGCCCAGCCCAGACCACCCCCCCACCCCGCCGGCUGCCUGGACUUAGAGCACCGAGUUCGCUCCGGGAGACCUCGGGUGGCGGCUGACCUAAGAACUGGGCAGGUCCGUAUUCGCUAG
rnacentral:lncRNA from 1 species